AUUAUGUGGAAAAUAAUGUGUUUUUUGAAUCUUAAACCGCAUAAACACAUUGUACUACACCAAAUACACCAAAUAAUGUUCUUUUUAGCAAUGUCAUAUGAUCCCUUUAAGUCAGUUUCUCAGCUAAAAAUAUCUGGCAUGAAGCAGCAUCAGUUUCUGUUCGCAGAACGUUCUCCACCCACAAGAGCCAUUACCAGUGUGUGAACACUUCCGCCACUUCUGCAGAAUAAAGUGGACUCAUUUUAUGUGUGUUCAUAUAGCUGGCUUUUAUUGCAAGACACUGUGGAAGUUGCUACAUACAGGAACUGCGUGACACAACAGUUUGUUUCCAGAUACACGGAUUGGCAGGAACAUGGUGAGAACCCU